rnacentral:rRNA from 1 species
UACGAAGGGGGCUAGCGUUGUUCGGAAUUACUGGGCGUAAAGCGUGCGCAGGCGGUUCGUUGUGUCGGCGGUGAAAGCCCCGGGCUUAACCUGGGAAUGGCCGUUGAAACUGGCGAACUGGAGUGUGGCAGAGGGGGGUGGAAUUCCGCGUGUAGCAGUGAAAUGCGUAGAGAUGCGGAGGAACACCGAUGGCGAAGGCAGCCCCCUGGGCUAACACUGACGCUCAGGCACGAAAGCGUGGGGAGCAAACAGG